rnacentral:sRNA from 1 species
UUUUUUUAAUAUCAAAAAGUUCUGGGCCAAAGCCCGUAAUCUCUUAUAUCCGAAACUACAGUAUGUAAUAUUAUUUUCAUCCUAAACGUCACUCAAACCGGUGAUCUCUAAAUUUCGUUUAUACAAAACACUUCGUUUUUUGCUUCUUAGAGUCCAAACAGUAAAAAUGAUGUAGUUUUAGAACUUGGGCAAAUAUCGAUUUUAGGGA